UACGUAGGGUGCAAGCGUUGUCCGGAAUUAUUGGGCGUAAAGAGCUCGUAGGUGGCUUGUCGCGUCGACUGUGAAAACCCGCGGCUCAACCGUGUGGUCUGCAGUCGAUACGGGCAGGCUAGAGUUCGGUAGGGGAGACUGGAAUUCCUGGUGUAGCGGUGAAAUGCGCAGAUAUCAGGAGGAACACCGGUGGCGAAGGCGGGUCUCUGGGCCGAUACUGACGCUGAGGAGCGAAAGCGUGGGGAGCGAACAGG
rnacentral:rRNA from 1 species